UACGUAGGGAGCAAGCGUUGUCCGGAAUCAUUGGGCGUAAAGCGCGCGUAGGUGGCCCCGUAAGUCCGCUGUGAAAGUCAAAGGCUCAACCUUUGAAAGCCGGUGGAUACUGUGGGACUAGAGUACGGAAGAGGCGAGUGGAAUUCCUGGUGUAGCGGUGAAAUGCGCAGAUAUCAGGAAGAACACCCGUGGCGAAGGCGGCUCUCUGGUACGUGACUGACGCUGAGACGCGAAAGCGUGGGGAGCAAACAGG
rnacentral:rRNA from 1 species